UCUCCGUUGGUGAACCAGCGGAGGGAUCAUUAUCGAGUAUAUAACUCCCAAACCCUAUGUGAACUUACCACUUGUUGCUUCGGCGCGCGCUUCGCUGCCGCCGAGGACACUUAAACUCUUUGUUUUUAUAAGCAUUUCUGAGUGGCCGAAAGUCAAAAAACAAAUGAAUCAAAACUUUCAACAACGGAUCUCUUGGUUCUA
rnacentral:misc_RNA from 1 species